rnacentral:rRNA from 1 species
UGGGAACGUACCUUUCGGUUCAGGACAACCCAGGGAAACUUGGGCUAAUACCGGAUACGCCCUUUGGGGGAAAGAUUUAUCGCCGAAAGAUCGGCCCGCGUCCGAUUAGCUAGUUGGUGAGGUAAUGGCUCACCAAGGCGACGAUCGGUAGCUGGUCUGAGAGGAUGAUCAGCCACAUUGGGACUGAGACACGGCCCAAACUCCUACGGGAGGCAG